rnacentral:rRNA from 1 species
CAAACCCGAGCGCCACGGCCGGCGGAGCCACGGCCGCCGCCGCCGCCUGGUCCGGCCACCACCACGCCAUGGGGAGCGCCUCCGGGCCGGCCACCACCACGGCCGGCGCAGCCAUGACCGUCGCCGCCAGGGCCGACCACUACCAUGCCACGGGGAGCGCCUCCGGGCCGGCCACCACCACGACCAGCGCAACCACAACCUCCACCUCCAGGGCCGACCACCACCACGCCAUGGACACGCCGCCGCCUGCUUAGGUCCGCCCCGCCGCUGGACACGAGCAGCCGCCCCGCCCCUGGCCGCGAGCUCGAGCAUGGGUGGGGAGCAGACAUGGAGCUCGGGCGGUUCCAGCCCGCCACGGCUGUUGCUUCCCGUCGGCCACGGCCAGAGCUGGAUUGCCCUGACGAGCUCGCCGGCAUGGUGCUGGCCGGCUCCGGCGACGAACUCCCCGGAAGGACGGGAUUGCCUUUAUUUUUAUUUUUUCAGGGACCCGAUUGCUUUUAUAGUUUGUUUCAGGGACCCGUUUGCUAAAAAAUACUUAGGCCCCACCUGUCAUAAUAUGUCAAUGGUCAAACUAAC